AGAGUUUGAUCAUGGCUCAGAUUGAACGCUGGCGGUAUGCUUAACACAUGCAAGUCGAACGCGAAAGACCCUUCGGGGUUGAGUAGAGUGGCGGACGGGUGAGUAACGCGUAGGGAUCUGCCUGGUAGUGGGGGACAACUUGGGGAAACUCAAGCUAAUACCGCAUACGCCCUAAGGGGGAAAGCAUGGGAUCUUCGGACCAUGUGCUAUCAGAUGAACCUGCGUCGGAUUAGCUAGUUGGUGAGGUAAUGGCUCACCAAGGCGACGAUCCGUAGCUGGUCUGAGAGGAUGAUCAGCCACACUGGGACUGAGACACGGCCCAGACUCCUACGGGAGGCAGCAGUGGGGAAUAUUGGACAAUGGGGGCAACCCUGAUCCAGCAAUACCGCGUGUGUGAAGAAGGCCUGAGGGUUGUAAAGCACUUUCAGUAGGGAGGAAGGCUGAGUAGUUAAUAACUGCUUGGAUUGACGUUACCUACAGAAGAAGCACCGGCUAACUCCGUGCCAGCAGCCGCGGUAAUACGGGGGGUGCAAGCGUUAAUCGGAAUUACUGGGCGUAAAGCGCGCGUAGGCGGUUUGUUCAGUCGGAUGUGAAAGCCCAGGGCUCAACCUUGGAACUGCAUUCGAUACUGGCAAACUAGAAUGUGAUAGAGGAUAGUGGAAUUUCCGGUGUAGCGGUGAAAUGCGCAGAGAUCGGAAGGAACAUCAGUGGCGAAGGCGGCUAUCUGGAUCAACAUUGACGCUGAGGUGCGAAAGCGUGGGUAGCAAACAGGAUUAGAUACCCUGGUAGUCCACGCCGUAAACGAUGUCAACUAGCCGUUGGGAGACUUGAUCUCUUAGUGGCGCAGCUAACGCGAUAAGUUGACCGCCUGGGGAGUACGGACGCAAGUUUAAAACUCAAAUGAAUUGACGGGGGCCCGCACAAGCGGUGGAGCAUGUGGUUUAAUUCGAUGCAACGCGAAGAACCUUACCAAUCCUUGACAUCCUCGGAAUAUACCAGAAAUGGAAUAGUGCCUUCGGGAACCGAGUGACAGGUGCUGCAUGGCUGUCGUCAGCUCGUGUUGUGAAAUGUUGGGUUAAGUCCCGUAACGAGCGCAACCCUUAUCCUUAUUUGCCAGCACGUAAUGGUGGGAACUCUAAGGAGACUGCCGGUGACAAACCGGAGGAAGGUGGGGACGACGUCAAGUCAUCAUGGCCCUUACGGAUUGGGCUACACACGUGCUACAAUGGGCAGUACAGAGGGUCGCAAACCUGCGAGGGUAAGCCAAUCUCAGAAAGCUGUUCGUAGUCCGGAUUGGAGUCUGCAACUCGACUCCAUGAAGUUGGAAUCGCUAGUAAUCGCGAAUCAGAAUGUCGCGGUGAAUACGUUCCCGGGCCUUGUACACACCGCCCGUCACACCAUGGGAGUGGGUUGCACCAGAAGUAGCUAGACUAACCUUCGGGAGGUCGGUUACCACGGUGUGAUUCAUGACUGGGGUGAAGUCGUAACAAGGUA
rnacentral:rRNA from 1 species